UUAUAGUUAAAAACUACUUACAUGAAAUAGAUAAGGAAGCAACUCUUUUGCUCAGCUGAAAGUGAAUUAUAACACUCACUGCACUGCUUUUACUUAUAUGUUGUGUUUACAGAAUCUCAUUAAACUGUAUUCUAUUAUAAGGUGCAUAUUUGCACGUCUGAGUAAAUUGGUAUGUGAAGGUUUUAUCUCAUCAGGGGGGAUUGGAUGUGUCUUAGAUUUUCUCCAAUGUUUUAAGAACUUUUCUGUGGUCCUUGCGAGAAUAGUUGUUGUUCAGACUUAGAGCUCACCCUUCACCACAAAAGAACUUCAAAAAAGAUUUACUUCAGCAAUUUAUAUUCCCUGUGAUUUGCUUUGACAUCUUGUUUGUCCUGUAUUCUCCUUUUCAGUUUAUAAAUAUCCAUUUACUCUGAGUUUUUUUAAUCUCUCUUUUUUCAGACGCAUGAAACACAUGGUGCAGCCCUCCCCUUCAGCUCCAGUAGUAACGGGCAACGAUUCCCAUUCUAGUCCUUCAACUUCAGGUAUGGUGUUAUAGCUGCUCCUGAGAUUACAGGUUGGCAACUCCUGAAUGACAAUGAUAGGCUGAUAGCUACCUCAUAGCUGCGUCUGAUGGUGUUUUUUAGGGGCAGGACACGCAAGAUGUCUGUGAUCUGCUGUGGGAAGUCCAGAAUGAUGACCUCUCAGGAUCACAUGUCUCUCCACCCUGCUCAGAUUCUUUAGCUGAUUGCAUAAUAAGCGUUGCCUUUGAGAGAGGGAGUGUAGAUAAUAUGGCCGCUGCUGUGAUUCCAUUAAGAUUAGAGUUUGUCGAAUACCUCUUUGAAUGGUUGGAAGGAUGAAUGGUGUUUUAUUUGUGAAUUUAAAAAUCUUAUGCUGAAGGGAAGGGAAGGGAAGGUUACACUCCGUUAUCCCCUAUCCGAAUCCCCUCUAACAUUAGCCAUCUUGGUCACGGAAGAGAAGAAGAUGCCUAUGAAUUUUUGAGGUCUACACUCCGAGGAUUGCGCCUUAUGCGAGGAAUUUGAUGUGGUUCGUGAGCAAUGGGCUAAGUUUUUUACCAGCAAGUAUUUAUUAUUGGCUUUAGCGCGCUUGAUCGAGUUGGUUUAGUUGUUAUAGAAUAAAUUUUAUAUUAAAAUGUAUGUUUAUGUUGAAAUUGGAACAUAUAUUUAAAUGUAAUAUGUGCACUUUGGUUUUGGGAUAUAUAGUAUACAAAACUCCAGUUGUUGUUUUUAUAUUUGUUAUAUAGGUUGCGUUAUUCUA